rnacentral:sRNA from 1 species
UGACCUCACAUAACCCUCAAUGUUCUUCCACUCUGUGCUCUGUGCUUGUGUAGUUUCUAACAAUUCUUUCACAUAGCUCUUAAUGUUCUUCCACUCUGUGCUCUGCACUUGUGUAGUCUCUAAUGAUUCUUCUGUGUAGCUUCUAAUGUUCUUCUGCUCUGUGUUCUGCACUUGUGUAGUCUCUAACAAUUCUUCUGUGUAGCUCUCAAUGAUUCCCCUGCCCCACACUCCACACUUGUGUAGUCUCUAAUGAUUCUUACACAUACUUCUUAAUGUUCUUCUGCUCUGCACUCCACUGUGGAGCAGCUUCUGAUAUUCUUCCACCCUGAACUUUCCUCUAUAAGAACCCUCUUUGUACAACCUUUUCUUCUGAUUUCUUUUCUCUUUCUUUCCUUAAUCAAUUCGUAAUCUGUAAUUAGGAUAGUACCAAAUCGUUA